AUGCAUCCCUGUCCACGCACCUCACACACUCCCUGCCCCCCACACNGUGUGGGGGGCAGGGAGUGUGUGAGGUGCGUGGACAGGGAUGCAU
rnacentral:miRNA from 14 species